rnacentral:lncRNA from 1 species
AUGGAUGGCAUCCAGAGCUCUGGGGAGCAGCAUCCCCACUGCAGUGCUGCAAAAGGACAGCAUCCACAGCACACAGCUGGGAUGGAUGGCAUGCAGAGUCUGGGGAGCAGCAACCCCAUCUCAGUGCUAAGAAGGGACAGUAUCUCUAUCACCGUGCUGAGAUGGAUGCCAUCAUCCUGGGGAGCAGCAUCCCCAUUGCAGUGCUGUGAAGGGACAGCAGACACAACACACAGCUGGGAUGGAUGGCAUCCAGAGCCCUGGGGAGCAGCAUCCCCAUCUCAGUGCUGUGAAGGACAGCAUUCCUAUCACCGUGCUGAGAUGGAUGGCAGCAUCCUGGGGAGCAGCAUCCCUAUCACACAGCUGGGAUGGAUGGCAUCCAGGGCCUGGGGAGCAGAAUCCCCACUGCAGUGCUGUGAAGGGACACCAUCCUUGUCACAGCACUGGGAUGGACGACAUCCAGAACUCUGGGGAGCAGGGUUCCCAUUGCAGUGUUGGGAUCAAUGGCAUUCAGGACCUGGGGAAUGGCAUCCUUAUAAAGACAGCAUCCAGGGCCUGGGGAGCAGAAUUCCCAUUGCAGUGCUGUGCAUUGCAUCGCACAGCUGGGAUGGAUGGCAUCAUCCUGGGGAACAGCAUCUCUAUCACAGUACUAUAAAGGAACAGCAUUCCCAUCACAGAAGUGGGAUGGAUGGCAUCCAGAGCCCUGGAGAGCAGAAUUCCCAUCACAGUGCUGUGAAGGGACAGCAUUCCCUUCACACAUCUGAGGUGGGUGGCACCCAGAGCCCUGGGGAGCAGAAUUCCAACCACAGAACUGGGAUGGAUGGCAUCCAGGCCCAGGGGAGCAGCAGCAGCUCGCAUCACCCUGGAACAGGUUACAGCCCUCCCUCCAGCAGGCUGACAGCACAGAUGCCAGCUGCCAUGCCAGCCCCCUGCCCAUUAUGCUGCAUUAACCAGGACCCCUCCAGCAGCUCUGCCAUCCCCUUCCUUGCACUCCAACUCUCAAAGCGCCUCCCAGGAGACCACGAGCCUAUCUGCAAGGUCUCUUCCUACAUCCUGAGCACUGCAAGCAGUGCUGCCACACAGUUGCCAGAUGUUUCAGCAUCUCCCCCCCUCCCCAAAUUAUUUUUGCAAGCUGUUCAGUCGCCUGUCACAGGGAGACGUCACUGGGAGGCUUGA